rnacentral:tRNA from 2 species
GUUCCUAUAGUAGAAAACUACGGUAAUUUUUCAGGUUACAAGUCCAAGUUAAAGUCUUGGUAGGAAUA